UACGUAGGGUGCGAGCGUUGUCCGGAAUUACUGGGCGUAAAGAGCUCGUAGGUGGUUUGUCGCGUUGUUCGUGAAAACUCACAGCUUAACUGUGGGCGUGCGGGCGAUACGGGCAGACUGGAGUACUGCAGGGGAGACUGGAAUUCCUGGUGUAGCGGUGGAAUGCGCAGAUAUCAGGAGGAACACCGGUGGCGAAGGCGGGUCUCUGGGCAGUAACUGACGCUGAGGAGCGAAAGCGUGGGGGAGCGAUCCGG
rnacentral:rRNA from 1 species